rnacentral:rRNA from 1 species
CGUUCUGUAAGCCUGUGAAGGUGUGCUGUGAGGCAUGCUGGAGGUAUCAGAAGUGCGAAUGCUGACAUAAGUAACGAUAAAGCGGGUGAAAAGCCCGCUCGCCGGAAGACCAAGGGUUCCUGUCCAACGUUAAUCGGGGCAGGGUGAGUCGACCCCUAAGGCGAGGCCGAAAGGCGUAGUCGAUGGGAAACAGGUUAAUAUUCCUGUACUUGGUGUUACUGCGAAGGGGGGACGGAGAAGGCUAUGUUGGCCGGGCGACGGUUGUCCCGGUUUAAGCGUGUAGGCUGGUUUUCCAGGCAAAUCCGGAAAAUCAAGGCUGAGGCGUGAUGACGAGGCACUACGGUGCUGAAGCAACAAAUGCCCUGCUUCCAGGAAAAGCCUCUAAGCAUCAGGUAACAUCAAAUCGUACCCCAAACCGACACAGGUGGUCAGGUAGAGAAUACCAAGGCGCUUGAGAGAACUCGGGUGAAGGAACUAGGCAAAAUGGUGCCGUAACUUCGGGAGAAGGCACGCUGAUAUGUAGGUGAAGUCCCUCGCGGAUGGAGCUGAAAUCAGUCGAAGAUACCAGCUGGCUGCAACUGUUUAUUAAAAACACAGCACUGUGCAAACACGAAAGUGGACGUAUACGGUGUGACGCCUGCCCGGUGCCGGAAGGUUAAUUGAUGGGGUCAGCGCAAGCGAAGCUCUUGAUCGAAGCCCCGGUAAACGGCGGCCGUAACUAUAACGGUCCUAAGGUAGCGAAAUUCCUUGUCGGGUAAGUUCCGACCUGCACGAAUGGCGUAAUGAUGGCCAGGCUGUCUCCACCCGAGACUCAGUGAAAUUGAACUCGCUGUGAAGAUGCAGUGUACCCGCGGCAAGACGGAAAGACCCCGUGAACCUUUACUAUAGCUUGACACUGAACAUUGAGCCUUGAUGUGUAGGAUAGGUGGGAGGCUUAGAAGUGUGGACGCCAGUCUGCAUGGAGCCGACCUUGAAAUACCACCCUUUAAUGUUUGAUGUUCUAACGUUGACCCGUAAUCCGGGUUGCGGACAGUGUCUGGUGGGUAGUUUGACUGGGGCGGUCUCCUCCUAAAGAGUAACGGAGGAGCACGAAGGUUGGCUAAUCCUGGUCGGACAUCAGGAGGUUAGUGCAAUGGCAUAAGCCAGCUUGACUGCGAGCGUGACGGCGCGAGCAGGUGCGAAAGCAGGUCAUAGUGAUCCGGUGGUUCUGAAUGGAAGGGCCAUCGCUCAACGGAUAAAAGGUACUCCGGGGAUAACAGGCUGAUACCGCCCAAGAGUUCAUAUCGACGGCGGUGUUUGGCACCUCGAUGUCGGCUCAUCACAUCCUGGGGCUGAAGUAGGUCCCAAGGGUAUGGCUGUUCGCCAUUUAAAGUGGUACGCGAGCUGGGUUUAGAACGUCGUGAGACAGUUCGGUCCCUAUCUGCCGUGGGCGCUGGAGAACUGAGGGGGGCUGCUCCUAGUACGAGAGGACCGGAGUGGACGCAUCACUGGUG